GAUGAAGAACGUAGCGAAAUGCGAUAAGUAAUGUGAAUUGCAGAAUUCAGUGAAUCAUCGAAUCUUUGAACGCACCUUGCGCUCCUUGGUAUUCCGAGGAGCAUGCCUGUUUGAGUGUCAUUAAUAUAUCAACCUUCUCUUUUUUGAGUUGUUUGGAUGUGGGGGUUUGCUGGCCUCUUAAAUGAUUCAGCUCCCCUGAAAUGCAUUAGCAGAACAACCUGUUCAUUGGCGUGAUAAUUAUCUAUGCUAUUGAAUGUGAGGGCAGUUCAGCUUUCUAACCGUCCUUGGACAAUUCAUCAUUAAUGUGACCUCAAAUCAGGUAGGACUACCCGCUGAACUUAAGCAUAUCAAGCGGAGGA
rnacentral:misc_RNA from 1 species